rnacentral:rRNA from 1 species
CCUACGGGUGGCUGCAGUGGGGAAUAUUGGACAAUGGGGGGAACCCUGAUCCAGCCAUGCCGCGUGUGUGAAGAAGGCCCUCGGGUUGUAAAGCACUUUCAGUGAGGAAGAACGCCUGGUGGUUAAUACCCAUCAGGAAAGACAUCACUCACAGAAGAAGCACCGGCUAACUCCGUGCCAGCAGCCGCGGUAAUACGGAGGGUGCGAGCGUUAAUCGGAAUUACUGGGCGUAAAGCGCGCGUAGGUGGCUUGAUAAGCCGGUUGUGAAAGCCCCGGGCUCAACCUGGGAACGGCAUCCGGAACUGUCAAGCUAGAGUGCAGGAGAGGAAGGCAGAAUUCCCGGUGUAGCGGUGAAAUGCGUAGAGAUCGGGAGGAAUACCAGUGGCGAAGGCGGCCUUCUGGACUGACACUGACACUGAGGUGCGAAAGCGUGGGUAGCAAACAGGAUUAGAUACCCGAGUAGUC